AGAGUUUGAUCAUGGCUCAGAUUGAACGCUGGCGGCAGGCCUAACACAUGCAAGUCGAGCGGAAACAGGAAGGUGCUUGCAUCUUUGCUGUCGAGCGGCGGACGGGUGAGUAAUGCCUAGGGAACUGCCCAGUCGAGGGGGAUAACAGUUGGAAACGACUGCUAAUACCGCAUACGCCCUACGGGGGAAAGGAGGGGACCUUCGGGCCUUUCGCGAUUGGAUGUACCUAGGUGGGAUUAGCUAGUUGGUAAGGUAAUGGCUUACCAAGGCAACGAUCCCUAGCUGGUCUGAGAGGAUGAUCAGCCACACUGGAACUGAGACACGGUCCAGACUCCUACGGGAGGCAGCAGUGGGGAAUAUUGCACAAUGGGCGAAAGCCUGAUGCAGCCAUGCCGCGUGUGUGAAGAAGGCCUUCGGGUUGUAAAGCACUUUCAGCGAGGAGGAAAGGGUAGUAGUUAAUAACUGCUAUCUGUGACGUUACUCGCAGAAGAAGCACCGGCUAACUUCGUGCCAGCAGCCGCGGUAAU
rnacentral:rRNA from 1 species